rnacentral:rRNA from 1 species
UAAAAUCUUAGUGGCGACGGGUGAGUAACGCGUGGGUAACCUGCCUUACACUGGGGGAUAACACUUAGAAAUAGGUGCUAAUACCGCAUAAGCGCACGAAGCCGCAUGGAUUUGUGUGAAAAACUCCGGUGGUGUAAGAUGGACCCGCGUCUGAUUAGCUUGUUGGCGGGGUAACGGCCCACCAAGGCGACGAUCAGUAGCCGGCCUGAGAGGGUGGACGGCCACAUUGGGACUGAGACACGGCCCAAACUCCUACGGAAGGCAGCAG